UAGGGCAUACGUUGAAGUCAAAAGUGUAUGCUGGAAAUUUGUAUUAACUCUCAAGUAAAACCUUCCAAUUUGUCUCAUUGCGAAGGAUGGAACACAUGGAAAUAUAAAAGACAUCCUGAACCAAGGGAGCUUCGGUAUCGAAGCUACCUGGCCCUGAAUAUGCAGGCUACAACGUUUGAAAGCCUCAAACCUUGCAAUUUGUAAAAUCGACGAAAGUGUGUACGUUAAGUUACUGAAUACGAUCAGAUAAUUCUUUCUCGUAAGAAACCAUUCAUGGCGGUCGGCGCACUUGUUACGAAGUUGCAGUAAGAAAGUCACGUGUCGGCGUGGGUGUCACGAUGUUGUCCUCGUAGCUGUUAUCGCGAAAACCUUGGGCAGCGGUCGCAUAGAGGGGCCCUAAGCUGGACGAUUUCCCAGGAUAUGGCGCCCUUCCGUCUAGGUCGUAAGGGUUCUGCGCUGUUGCAGUCACAGCUAGUGCCGUCAGACACAGCCAAUACAUCCUGCAAAAUACCAAACGCUUGAAUUGAAAUAUGGUUGAGGGGUACGUGACUAUAACUUACGGCGAGAAAAGGUCAGGCCUCUGAAAAUGAUGCAUAGCAAAACAAGAAUGUUCGAGCAAGCAGUCUGCGGUAUUUUCUCGCUGGCUGGAAUUACGUGCUCGAUGCACUUUCUCGCUCCAUGAUACGCAGACGAAAUAACAGAGAUUUGUGUACAUACAGACAUGUGCGAGGGAAAGCAACCUUGACUAUUGAUAUCUUCGCUAUAAAGCACCUAGGUUCACUCAAAGUGGAAAGUAAUGAUACUUGGCAGGAUUGAUGGUAAUCGCAGCUCGUCUUACAUGAAACUUUACGAUCAGCUUGAAACCGAUUAGUUAUUUUUAUUAUCCCGCGAAACCUAUCGCGUACGUUCGAUUAUGUCUAAUUUUCAUCGGAGAGAUGCUUGAUAUGACGCUUUAUAUUUGCACCUGACGCUUUCCCCCGGUCGUUCCAUUACUGCACAUUUGUACAAAGAGAUUUUAUUCAACGUUGUCGCAACCUGAAAAAGUCUUUCAACUGAAAGAAAGUAACCAACGUGAAAGAAAUAACGCGAAGACGUAAGAAAUCUUUAGGAAAGCGACACUUGAGUUUCAAAGAUUCCACUUGCAGCUGGUCGCGUGCGUUUAAUGUCGAUGACCUAGAAUAUUCGCGUGAAAGAGGGCUACGGAGAAAUGUGGUGAAACAGUAUAAUGGUAUUUCAAAUCGAGCGAAAUUGUACACACUCUCUCGUGCGCUGACUCAACCGACUAAUGCCCCUGUUAAUAUAUUCAGCUUCUUGUAAUUCCUCAUCCGAAAACCGGACCAAUUUGCACUGGCAUAAUUUAACCGAUAAACUGGUCGUAGAAGAGUAAAAUUACCCGAUCUGAUUAAGUGAAAUUACAUGUUUACGCGUAGAACGAAACUUUGGUAUGCACAACUGGUUUGACCUGUUCGACUAUAUCGGUAGAAAGCCAAAUAUUUAGUUCUGGGCGAUGCGCACAGGGAACUGGAAUUCAAUUCUUUAUUCCUUACACGAGUCGAUCAAAAUAUGAAUCUGAACAAACAUCCGCAGUCCAAAGAUGAGCGUACCUUUCUUUACCCAGUUUGUGUCGUUUAACUAGAAACACAAGUGUGUUCGCACCCGAAUCGACGACGUCCUAGUGGAAAGCACUUCGCUUUCUAGUGCGUAAAACAUGGACGGCGGUUUCACGAUCCGUUGAGGACAUCUCAUUCGUAACGGCGAUGAUGUAUCGCGGGAGAUCCGACGCUUUCGAUAAAUUUGAAAGGCUCGACUUACGAGAUCAGACCUCCCUGUAUCCCAGAUCUCUCGUUGAUAAAAAGAAACGGCCGUUGAGCGUGACAAACGCGAAAAAAGAGUAAAAGCGAGGCCUAGGACCCCGGCACUGACAAGCAGCGAAUCAUCGUGGACAAAUAAAGUUCGAUCUCCCGUCGAAACGAAGAAAGUACACUGGUUUUUUGGCUCGUCGCUUUCCCUUCUGGGAAGAGAGGUCAGACGGUCGAAAGUAUAGUCGCAUCCUGGAUUGUACGAGUUCAGGAUUUAGAGGCACACAAGACACCACCGGCCAAACCAGUACAACCCAAAGAGAAGCAAAAUAAAAAAAUAAGAAUAUCUGGCUGCAGAAUUUCAUGAAAAUCGUAGGAUGAUGGAUCUCGCCAGCUUCCAGCAUCGCG